rnacentral:rRNA from 1 species
UUUUUAGACCUUCCUGGAGGAGCUUGCCAUUAAACCGAUAACCCACGAAAAACCUCACCAGUCUUUGAAAAGUCAACUUGUAUACCAUCGUCGUCAGUCUACCUCAUAAGAGUAGUAUACAAAAAGAACUCCAUAAUCUUCUUUACGUCAGAUCGAGGUGCAGUUUAUAGACCGGGAAUGAGUGAGCUACAAUAUUAAAACAAGUUUACUCUUAACUAAACAUAAUUAUGAACAAUUUUUUGAAAACAUAAAUUUGAAAAAGGAUUCAGAAGUAAUAUAUAAAAGAAAAUAUUUAUGAAAUAUACAGCUCUAAAAUGCGC